GGAAGUAGAAGUCGUAACAAGGUCUCCGUUGGUGAACCAGCGGAGGGAUCAUUACAGAGUUGCAAAACUCCCAAACCAUUGUGAACGUUACCUAUCCCGUUGCUUCGGCGGGCGGCCCGGGCCCCGCGCCCGGCGCCCCCCGGCCCCCCGUGGGCGCCCGCCGGAGGUAAACCAAACCCUUGAAUUGCAUGGCCUCUCUGAGUCUUCUGUACUGAAUAAGUCAAAACUUUCAACAACGGAUCUCUUGGUUCUG
rnacentral:misc_RNA from 1 species